UACGUAGGGGGCUAGCGUUGUCCGGAAUCAUUGGGCGUAAAGAGCGUGUAGGCGGUCCGGUAAGUCCGCUGUGAAAGUCGGGGGCUCAACCCUCGAAUGCCGGUGGAUACUGUCGGGCUAGAGUGCGGAAGAGGCGAGUGGAAUUCCUGGUGUAGCGGUGAAAUGCGCAGAUAUCAGGAGGAACACCUAUUGCGAAGGCAGCUCGCUGGGACGUAACUGACGCUGGAGACGCGAAAGCGUGGGGAGCAAACGGG
rnacentral:rRNA from 1 species